GGUUCGAUUAUGGCUCGGGUGAACGCUGGCGGGAUGCUUUACACAUGCAAGUCAAUUGCGGCGCUGGACUUCGGUCUGGUGGCGAGUGGCGAACAGGUGAGUAAUGUAUCGGAACGUGCCUAGUAGCGGGGGAUAACUGCGCGAAAGCGUAGCUAAUACCGCAUACGCCCUUCGGGGGAAAGCGGGGGACCUUCGGGCCUCGCACUAUUAAACGGCCGAUAUCGGAUUAGCUAGUUGGUGGGAGGUAACGGCUCACCAAGGCGACGAUCCGUAGCUGGUUUGAGAGGACGACCAGCCACACUGGAACUGCAGAACACAGCCCAGACUCCUACGGGAGGCAGCAGUGGGGAAUUUUUGGGACAAUGGGGAAGCCUACAGUCCAGCCCAUCCCGCGUGUGCGAUGAAGGCCUUCGGGUUUGUAAAGCACUUUUGGCAGGAAAGAAACGGCACGGGAUAAUACCCCGUGCAACUGGCGGGGACCUGCAGAAUAAACACCGGCUAACUACGUGCCAGCAGCCCGCGGUAAUACGUAAGUGCAAGCGUUGAGUGGAAUUACUGGGCGUAAAGCGUGCGCAGGCGGUUCAGGAAAGAAGGUCUUAAGAAAUCCAGAGCUUAACUGGAACUGCAUUUUAACUACCGAGCUAGAGUGUGUCAGAGGAGGUGGAAUUCCGCGUGUAGCAGUGAAAUGCGUAGAUAUGCGGAGGAACACCGAUGGCGAAGGCAGCCUCCUGGGAUUAACGCGACGCUCAUGCGAAAGCGUGGGGGAGCAAACAGGAUUAGAUACCCUGGUAGUCCACGCCUAAACGAUGUCAACUAGCUAUUUGGGGCCUUCAGGCCUUGGUAGCGCAGCUAACGCGUGAAGUUGACCGCCUGGGAGUACGGUCGCAAGAUUAAAACUCAAAGGAAUUGACGGGGACCCGCACAAGCGGUGGAUGAUGUGGAUUAAUUCGAUGCAACGCAAAAGAAGACACUGCCUACCCUUGACAUAUGUGGAAUCCCGAAGAAGAGGUUCCAGGUGCUCGCAAGAGAACCGGAACACAGGUGCUGCAUGGCUGUCGUCAGCUCGUGUCGUGAGAUGUUGGGUUAAGUCCGCAACGAGCGCAACCCUUGUCAUUAGUUGCUACGAAGGGCACUCUAUUAGAGCUGCCGGUAUUAAGCGCCAGGAGGAGGUAGGAUGACGUCAAGUCCUCAUGGCCCUUAUGGGUAAGGAGCUUCACACGUCAUACAAUGAUCAGGACAGAGGUCGCCAACCCGCGAGGGGAACCAAUCCCAGAAACCCGAUCGUAGUCGGAUCGCCAUCUGCCAUCCUGACUGCGUGAAGUCGGAAUCGCUAGUAAUCGCGGAUCAGCAUGUCGCGGUGAAUACGUUCCCGGGGUCUUGUACACCGCCCGUCACACCAUGGGAGUGGGUUUUACCAGAAGUAGUUAGCCUAACCGUAAGGAGGGCGAUUACCACGGUAAGUUCAUGACUGGGGUGAAGUCGUAACGAGGCG
rnacentral:rRNA from 1 species